AUAUCAAUAAGCGGGGGAAAAGAAACUAACAAGGAUUCCCCUAGUAACGGCGAGUGAGGCGGGAAAAGCUCAAAUUUAAAAUCUCCUAGGUUUCCUAGGCGAAUUGUAGUUUCAAGAAGCGUUUUCUGAGAUGGCCUCGGUCCAAGUCUGCUGGAAGGCAGCGCCAUAGAGGGUGAUAGCCCCGUAGGAUCCUGAACCAUUUCUCUAUGAUUGCGUCUUCGAAGAGUCGUACAGUUUGAGAAUGCUGUGCUAAAUGGGAGGUAAAUAUCUUCUAAAGCUAAAUAAUUGGCGUGAGACCGAUAGCGCACAAGUA
rnacentral:rRNA from 1 species